rnacentral:lncRNA from 1 species
CUUUUGAGGCUAUACCACGUACUUUGACUCAGAAUUGCGGGGUGAAUGUGAUUAGAACAAUGACGGCGCUGCAGGGAAAGGUUUGAAUCUGUUUUGUAUGGCUUGGUUCAGUUUUUUUUAUGAUUUGUCAUUUGUAUAUACGUUCUGAUGCAUCAUUAUUAUUUUCGUCAGAAUGGCACAUGCAUCAUUGAUAUCCUCACCACAAUUUUUUUUCCAUAGCAUGCAAAUGGUGAAAAUGCAUGGAUUGGCAUUGAUGGUAACACUGGUGUGAUAACUGAUGUGAAAGAGAAAAAGGUAGGUGGAUAUCUUGUUGGCUUACUAUUUGUUGAUGCUCAAAAUGGCUCGGCCACUAUUUGAGUCCAACUUAGUGAUUAGAGGUACUAGGUCUUCAGCAGGGAAGAAGGCUGAAGCCCUUGGAUGAAAUGGAUUGGUAAGACCUGCAGAAGGUAAGAAGAGGAGAAGCAACCGUAAAGCUUCGGACACCGGUGUGGUGCCGGCCGAAGGCUCUCCGAUGCCUAAGUCAGUUACAGAUAGUAAUUCUGGCAGAGUAACAGUGAAAGUAGGGGAAUGGUCUCUCUGUUUUACCUGGGUAUCGUUCCCUAUUUAUAGGGAGGUGAAAGUGGGAGCUUUGCACAAAGUUCCAAUGUGGGACUUUGUGCAAGCUAUUGUGGUGGCGACACGUGUCCUGGAGAUUAGGUUUGGCAUUUGGGAGCUUCGGCAGGAGUCUGGCACCUCGGAAGUGUGUCUUCCUUCGGCAUGGGAGAAGGCGUGGUUGCCUUGGUGCUAGUCGCUUUGAUGCUGGGACUGCUCGGUUCAUUAUGGUGUAAACACUAUUGUUGCUCUCUUUUAUUUCCUUCACUAUCUCAAUAUUCAAAUUUGUUGGCUGAUUUAUAUUUGCUGAAAGCUCUGAAAUAGGACUUUUAAUGUUGUCAAAUGUAUCCAUUAUAUGUCCCUUUAUUGAUAUGGCAUAAGCGUCAAUAUUCUGGUUCAUAUUGUCGAUUUGCUUCAGUAGUAGUUCUAGUUUAGAGCUUCUCCCAAUAUAUUUCGACAGCACUCAUGUGAGGGGAAGUGCUGUUGUCGUGGUUAUUACUAAAUUUCCCAAUAAAUUUAUUUUGUUGGUAAGGCUGUUGAUUUAUAGGAAUUAUGAUGUCAGAUAUGGGAUGCCUACAACGUGAAGGCCCAGAGUUUUAAAACGGCCAUAGAAGCUGCUUGCCUACUUCUCAAAAUCGAUGACAUUGUGAGUGGGAUGAAGAAGAAGCAGCCUCCUGGUGCCAAAGCUCCUUCGAAGCCUCAAGUUGAGACAGAAGGCGAUGCAGAUAAUGAGCAAAUAAUUCCGGAGUGAUUAUCGAGAGCACGUGGUUUUCUCAGUUUGAAUGAAGUUUUGCUUUAAAGAAGAAAAAAAGGAGCAUUAUAAGUUUGAUGAGGAUAUUUUUUAGGUUUGUAAUGUCACCUUAACUUGGUAGUG